UACGUAGGUGGCAAGCGUUGUCCGGAUUUAUUGGGUUUAAAGGGUGCGUAGGCGGGUUAUUAAGUCAGUGGUGAAAGCCUGCAGCUUAACUGCAGAACUGCCAUUGAUACUGAUGAUCUUGAGUAUGAUUGAGGUGGGCGGAAUGUGUCAUGUAGCGGUGAAAUGCUUAGAUAUGACACAGAACACCGAUUGCGAAGGCAGCUCACUAAGCCAUAACUGACGCUGAUGCACGAAAGCGUGGGGAGCAAACAGG
rnacentral:rRNA from 1 species